UAGAAAAAGGAAGUCAACAUGGUCGGCAUUAAAUCACUUCAAGUUUAUUUUCGAUAAUCGGUAUCAUACAGUUUACGAUUUAUUUAGUAGUAGUUUCUAAGGAAUAUUUUAAUAUAGGUGGGAACUUCAAAGUAUACCCAAGCUGAAAAAGAAUAUUUGCAAACAUUGAAUGGACUACAUAAUGCGAAGGGACCAGAUAAUAUAGUUUUGGGGUCUGGACAGGUGGAUCAUUGAUACAUGUGCCCAAGAAGCAUAUGAGUGAAAUUUGUGCAGAAUAGCUACAGACCAUGAAGUUAAGAUGUGAAGAGAUGCAGGUCUUUGUUCUACAUGGUGUAUGAGUGAAACAUGUGUAUGGCAGUCAUAGAAAACAUUUAAAAAUAUGAAGGUAUGCUCCACUUUUCACUGAAUGGGGUUAUUUACUUGGAUAGAGAGAUGUGCCCAGUCUGUUAUGUGUUCUUGUUAUACCAGGUAGCAUGGGCUUUAGUGGAACUUUUUCCAUAGAAGAAAUCUGUGAGAUAGAUCUUGCUGCAGCAUGGCAUUGACAAACCAAGAAGCUCAGAUUGUUGUGUGCACACUAGUUUGAUUUGUUUAUGACUUUGAAUGGAUUUCAUAGAAACAGGAAACUACAAGUAUUGAUGCAUCUGUUUUAUUUAUUACCACACCUGAACUUUGUUCAA
rnacentral:lncRNA from 1 species